AUUGAACGCUGGCGGCAUGCUUUACACAUGCAAGUCGAACGGCAGCGCGGGCUUCGUCCUGGCGGCGAGUGGCGCACGGGUGAGUAAUGCAUCGGAACGUGCCCAGUAGUGGGGGAGAGUCCGGCGAAAGACGGAGUAAUACCGCAUACGACCUGCGGGUGCAAGCGGGGGACCGAAAGGCCUCGCGCGAUGGGAGCGGCCGACGUCGGGUUGGCUAGCUGGUGGGGUAAAGGCUUACCAAGGCGACGAUCCGUAGCUGGUCUGAGAGGACGACAAGCCGCACUGGGACUGAGACACGGCCCAGACUCCUGCGGGAGGCAGCAGUGGGUAAUUUUGGACAAUGGGGGCAACCCUGAUCCAGCGAUGCCGCGUGCGGGAAGAAGGCCUUCGGGUUGUAAACCGCUUUUGUUCGGGAAGAAAUCCUCUGGGCUAAUACCCCGGGGGGAUGACGGUACCGGAAGAAUAAGCACCGGCUAACUACGUG
rnacentral:rRNA from 1 species